GCGUCAUGGCUCUGCAAGAACCAGAUUUUGGAUGUGAACUAGCCAAAGAGUUUUAUUUUUUAUCUUCAGUCUAGACUGAAGACAUCAAUCUGACUGUUACUAGAGAGGUGACCGUUUAAAGAGG